CCACAUAUUACUAGGUUAGCAAUGGAGCGACGGAGAAGGAUAGAUGAGCCCAGGUGAUGGUUAUCCUGGGGUAAAUGUGUAGGAAGACUGAUAGGUAAAUCCGUUAGUCACAUAUUCUGAGACAUGAGUCCGAGCCGCUUUUUAGGCGAAGUCAUUGAUUCCAUACUUCCAAGAAAAACUUCUAGUUAGUUUUUUUAGUGCCCGUACCCCAAACCGACACAGGUGGACAAGUAGAGAAUACUAAGGCGAGCGAGAUAACUCUGGUUAAGGAACUCGGCAAAAUAGUUCCGUAACUUCGGGAGAAGGAACGCCCAAGUAAAGUGAUUAAUUAACUUUAUGAGCUUGAACGGGCCGCAGUGAUCAGACUCAAGCGACUGUUUAUCAAAAACACAGGAGGGUGCAAAGUUCUAAUACAACGUAUACCCUCUGACACCUGCCCGGUGCUGGAAGGUUAAGUGGAGAGGUUAGCUUCGGCGAAGCUUUGAAAUUAAGCCCCAGUAAACGGCGGCCGUAACUAUAACGGUCCUAAGGUAGCGAAAUUCCUUGUCGGGUAAGUUCCGACCUGCACGAAUGGUGUAACGAUUUGAGUACUGUCUCAACCAGAGACUCGGCGAAAUUGCAAUGUGAGUAAAGAUGCUCACUAUGCGCGACAGGACGGAAAGACCCCGGAACCUUUACUGCAACUUGAUAUUGAAGUUUGGUGUGCAGUAUGCAGGAUAAGUGGGAGACUAUGAAAUAGCGGCGCUAGUCGUUAUGGAGUCAUCCUUGAGAUACCACUUUCUUCAUAUUGAGCUUCUAACCUAGAUCCGUUAUCCGGAUCAGGGACAUUGUCUGGUGGGCAGUUUCACUGGGGCGGUGGCCUCCUAAAAAGUAACGGAGGCGCUCUAAGGUCACCUCAGCGUGGACGGCAAUCACGCAUCGAGUGUAAGUGCAAAAGGUGGCUUGACUGUGACACAAACAAGUGGAGCAGGUACGAAAGUAGGAACUAGUGAUCCCAUGGUUGCAUGUGGGUGCGCCAUGGCUCAUCGGCUAAAAGGUACUCCGGGGAUAACAGGCUUAUACCCCCCAAGAGUCCAUAUCGACGGGGGUGUUUGGCACCUCGAUG
rnacentral:rRNA from 1 species